UUCGUAGGUGGCCAACUAAGUCAGACGUGAAAUCCCUCAGCUUAACUGGGGAACUGCGUCUGAGACUGGAUGGCUUGAGUGCAGGAGAGGAACGCGGAAUUCCAGGUGUAGCGGUGAAAUGCGUAGAUAUCUGGAGGAACACCGGUGGCGAAGGCGGCGUUCUGGACUGCUACUGACACUAAGGAACGAAAGCCAGGGAGCAAACG
rnacentral:rRNA from 1 species